AUUUUCUAGAAAAUUUAUAAAAUCAUUUUAUAAAAUCACAAUUUCUCUUAAAACAUAGCAAUUUACCAUUUAAACUCAUUUUUCAUAAAAUCACACAGUUGUAUAAAACUACUAUAGAUAAUUAAGACGAUAAUAAGUUUACUCACAGUUUUCGAAAACUAAAUUCGGGUACUCCAACUAUUACUCCUCAGGUGCGAUUUCUUUGCCCUUGCCAAAGGAUUCGCCACCUUG
rnacentral:lncRNA from 1 species